GUCUACGGGAGGCAGCAGUGGGGAAUAUUGCACAAUGGGGGAAACCCUGAUGCAGCGACGCCGCGUGAGUGAAGAAGUAUUUCGGUAUGUAAAGCUCUAUCAGCAGGGAAGAAAAAAGACGGUACCUGACUAAGAAGCCCCGGCUAACUACGUGCCAGCAGCCGCGGUAAUACGGAGGAUGCGAGCGUUAUCCGGAUUUAUUGGGUUUAAAGGGUGCGUAGGCGGACGCUUAAGUCAGCGGUAAAAUUGCGGGGCUCAACCUCGUCGAGCCGUUGAAACUGGGAGCCUUGAGUGGGCGAGAAGUA
rnacentral:rRNA from 1 species